rnacentral:rRNA from 1 species
AAUCAACGCUGGCGGCGUGCCUAACACAUGCAAGUCGCACGAGAAAGGGACUUCGGUCCUGAGUACAGUGGCGCACGGGUGAGUAACACGUGAAUAAUCUACCUCCGAGUGGGGAAUAACUGAGAGAAAUCUUAGCUAAUACCGCAUAACACUUACGAGUCAAAGCAGCAAUGCGCUUGGAGAGGAGUUCGCGGCAGAUUAGUUAGUUGGCAGGGUAAGGCCUACCAAGACGAUGAUCUGUAUCCGGCCUGAGAGGGCGCACGGACACACUGGAACUGAAACACGGUCCAGACUCCUACGGGAGGCAGCAGUGGGGAAUUUUGCGCAAUGGGGGAAACCCUGACGCAGCAACGCCGCGUGGAGGAUGAAAUCCCUGGGAUGUAAACUCCUUUCGAUCGGGAAGAUAAUGACGGUACCGAGAGAGAA